CUCGUAAGAGGAAAAGAAAUAUCUGCUGCUAGAUUAGCCCGCGUUGGAUUAGGUAGUUGGUGGGGUAAUGGCCUACCAAGCCGACGAUCUAUAGCUGGUCUGAGAGGAUGAUCAGCCACACUGGGACUGAGAUACGGCCCAGACUCCUAUGGGAGGCAGCAGUGGGGAAUAUUGGACAAUGGGCGAAAGCCUGAUCCAGCAAUACCGCGUGAGUGAUGAAGGCCCUCGGGUUGUAAAGCUCUUUCACUGGGGAAGAUAAUGACGGUACCCAGAUAAGAAGCCCCGGCAAACUCCGUGCCAGCAGCCGCGGUAAUACGGAGGGGGCUAGCGUUGUUCGGAAUUACUGGGCGUAAAGGGCGCGUAGGCGGCCUGGCAAGUCAGAGGUGAAAUCCUGGAGCUCAACUCCAGAACUGCUUCAGAAACUGCUAGGCUAGAGUAUGGUAGAGGGUGAGAGAAUUCCUAGUGUAGAGGUGAAAUUCUUAGAUAUUAGGAGGAAUACCGAAGGCGAAAGCAAUCAUCUGGGCCAAAACUGACGCUGAUGUGCGAAAGCGUGGGGAGCAAACAGGAUUAGAUACCCUGGUAGUCCACGCAGUAAACGAUGAGUGCUAAAUAUUGGGUAAUAACUCAGUUUUACAGCUAACGCGUUAAGCACUCCGCCUGGGGAGUACGGCCGCAAGGCUAAAACUCAAAGGAAUUGACGGGGGCUCGCACAAGCGGUGGAGCAUGCGGUUUAAUUCGAUGCUACGCGAAAAACCUUACCAACCCUUGACAUGUUAGUCGAGAACUCUAGAGAUAGGUUCGUCAGUUUGGCUAGACUAACACAGGUGUUGCAUGGCCGUCGUCAGCUCGUGUCGUGAGAUGUUGGGUUAAGCCCCGCAACGAGCGCAACCCUUGUCUUUAUUUGCCAUCAUUUAGUUGGGAACUAUAAAGAGACUGCCUGUGCUAAGCAGGAGGAAGGCGGGGAUGAGGUCAGGUGUCAUGGCCCUUAUGGGUUGGGCUACACGCGUGCUACAAUGGUGUCUACAAAGGGAAGCGAAACCGUGAGGUGGAGCGGAUCUCAAAAAAGACAUCUCAGUUCGGAUUGCACUCUGCAACUCGGGUGCAUGAAGUUGGAAUCGCUAGUAAUCGCGGAUCAGAAUGCCGCGGUGAAUACGUUCUCGGGCCUUGUACACACUGCCCGUCAAACCAUGGGAGUUGAUUCUACCUGAAGCCGGUGAGCUAACCCUUUUGGGAGGCAGCCGUCCACGGUAGGGUUGGUGACUGGGGUUAAGUCGAAACAAGGUA
rnacentral:rRNA from 1 species